CAGUCGCCGCGGGAAUACGUAGGUGGCAAGUGUUGUCCGGAAUUAUUGGGCGUAAAGGGCUCGCAGGCGGUUUCUUAAGUCUGAUGUGAAAGCCCCCGGCUCAACCGGGGAGGGUCAUUGGAAACUGGGAAACUUGAGUGCAGAAGAGGAGAGUGGAAUUCCACGUGUAGCGGUGAAAUGCGUAGAGAUGUGGAGGAACACCAGUGGCGAAGGCGACUCUCUGGUCUGUAACUGACGCUGAGUAGCGAAAGCGUGGGGAGCGAACAGGAUUAGAUACCCCGGUAGUCCCUGUCUCUUAUAC
rnacentral:rRNA from 1 species